CCUACGGGUGGCAGCAGUGAGGAAUAUUGGUCAAUGGACGAGAGUCUGAACCAGCCAAGUAGCGUGAAGGAUGACUGCCCUAUGGGUUGUAAACUUCUUUUAUAUGGGAAUAAAAUGUUCCACGUGUGGGAUUUUGUAUGUACCAUAUGAAUAAGGAUCGGCUAAGUCCGUGCCAGCAGCCGCGGUAAUACGGAGGAUCCGAGCGUUAUCCGGAUUUAUUGGGUUUAAAGGGAGCGUAGGUGGAUUGUUAAGUCAGUUGUGAAAGUUUGCGGCUCAACCGUAAAAUUGCAGUUGAAACUGGCAGUCUUGAGUACAGUAGAGGUGGGCGGAAUUCGUGGUGUAGCGGUGAAAUGCUUAGAUAUCACGAAGAACUCCGAUUGCGAAGGCAGUUCACUGGACUGCAACUGACACUGAGGCUCGAAAGUGUGGGUAUCAAACAGGAUUAGAUACCCGAGUAGUC
rnacentral:rRNA from 1 species